UUUUGUUUCGGGUCUGGCAACUCAAAUCUAUAACCCUGAUCUCACCUACUUGUUCUCAAACCAGUCAAACCCAAUCCCUGAAGCAUUAAUCUCUUUUCUCUUUCCCUUUUGUUUUGUGUUUUUGGAGUAUUUUCUACUUUCUGGAAAUGGAGAAUGGGGAUGAUUGGCUCGCCAUGGACAAGCUUUACCACGUACUCUUCUGCUUCUCCAUUGCUAUCUUCACCUCCCUCGUUGCGGGUCGAACCCGGUACCCGUUUAUUCGGCGCAGGAGCAUCUGGGUCGGAUCCCUGGUCUCCCUCGCCGCCGGUGCCGCCAAGGAGGUCGCGGACGAGCUCGGCUUUUUCAAGUCCGCCGGUGCUUCGUCUAAAGACGCCGUCGCCGACGCCCUCGGCACUCUAAUUGCUGCUUUUCUUCUUUUGCUCGCUAAACCCUCUUCUUUCGCUGUUCGACCCGACCAGUUGAGCCGCGAUAAGGAACUCAACAUGGUCUGAUCGCACCAUAAAUGUCAAAUGUUUCUUAGCUUCUGAUUCUCGGAGCACCAACUGAUUGCUAGGCAUAGUAUAUUUGUGUGGAAAAUAUGGCUUGUAAGCGGAAACAUUUUAGUUCUGCUACACGUGAUACUAGAUCAAUUGCAGUAAUGGCUGAAAUUAUGGAGCACGAGAUUCAAGUCUCAGAUUUUUGGCUUCAUGGAGACCGAGCUUCUGGAUUGUAAGACUAGCUUUGUCAUAGUGAGGCUUUGGUACUAAAGUAUUUGAUACCACAGCAAUAUAGUUUUUAUACCACAGGAUUGAAGUUUUAUUACAAUAUUCAAAUUAUAAUGUGAUGGUACCAAUGCUAAAGCUAUAUAGUAUCAAAGUUAAAAACACAUGAUACCAAGGAAGUGUGUAUGGUCCAGUGGUCCACACAUUGCACCAUAGAAAUUUUCCUUUUUGUUUUAUUAGGUGUAAUGAGGAUUUCAUGGAUCACCUUCUGAAACUGUGUUCAACUGAGGGCUUUUGUUGAUUUUCGCCAUCUUCAUCAGGCAGUUUAACUGCAGAAUAAACACCUGCCCCAGCAAGGGCACCAAGGAUGGGGGCAGUUAAGUAGAUCCAUAUAGCUCUGUAGUUUCCUGCAGCUAUUGCUGGUCCGAGAGUUCGUACUGGGUUCAUGGAAGCUCCGGUUGUUUGCCUGAGCCAUGAAGAGUAGAGGCUUAAUGUGUGAGAACUUCCUGUAGUAGGCUUCAGAUAUCUUUUUAUGUUCCCAAAUCCCAAUACACCCUUGGGUGAUGCUUUACUCUUGGGACAACCCAGACUUCAAUUUGAACAUCUAUAUAAAUUUGUCAUAUGUAAUACAUAUUUUUCACUUUUGCUAACCCCCUUUUCUCACCCACUUUAUCCUUAUUUC